rnacentral:ncRNA from 1 species
UGGUUUCAAAUUCAAACUAAACAGGUUUUAGUGGCCACAUUUUAAAAGAUGCAAAUUACUUUAGGCUCGAUUCAUACCAAAGGGCCGUCAUGCUCUGUUUUGCGUUCUCAGUCCAGUAAAAUAUUACCAAAUAAUCGUAUUCAUAUGCUACCCCCACGAUCAAAUUCCGAUUCAAUCAUUCACCGACUUCGAAUAGUUUACGUCUCGCACCGGCGACGCAUCUUUCAAAUGUCUGCCUUAUCAACUGUCGAUGGUAGGUUCUGCGCCUACCAUGGUUGUAACGGGUAACGGGGAAUCGGAAAGGGAUUCUAGAAAAAAGGUGCUACAUUCAAGGGAGGCAGUAGGUGUGCAAAUCACUCACUCCUGGCACAGGGAGGUAGUGACGAAAAAUAACGAUGCGGAAUUCGUGGGAGGCCCCGUAAUCGGAAUGAGUACAGUCUAAACCCUUUAACAAGUUAAUUGGAGCAAUA